ncrna:unclassified sequences L31-Firmicutes ribosomal protein leader
CUUUGUAGUGAGAAAUCUACAAGGCGGAAGGAG